UACGUAGGGGGGCAAGCGUUGUCCGGAAUCAUUGGGCGUAAAGCGCGUGUAGGCGGCUCGAUAAGUCUGCUGUGAAAGUCCAGGGCUCAACCCUGGAAUGCCGGUGGAAACUGUCGGGCUAGAGUCCGGAAGAGGCGAGUGGAAUUCCUGGUGUAGCGGUGAAAUGCGCAGAUAUCAGGAGGAACACCAAUGGCGAAGGCAGCUCGCUGGGACGGUACUGACGCUGAGACGCGAAAGCGUGGGGGAGCAAACAGG
rnacentral:rRNA from 1 species